rnacentral:rRNA from 1 species
GACGAACGCUGGCGGCGUGCCUAAUACAUGCAAGUAGAACGCUGAAGGAGGAGCUUGCUUCUCCGGAUGAGUUGCGAACGGGUGAGUAACGCGUAGGUAACCUGCCUGGUAGCGGGGGAUAACUAUUGGAAACGAUAGCUACUACCGCAUAAGAGUAGAUGUCGCAUGACAUUUGCUUAAAAGGUGCAACUGCACCACUACCAGAUGGACCUGCGUUGUAUUAGCUAGUUGGUGAGGUAACGGCUCACCAAGGCAACGAUACAUAGCCGACCUGAGAGGGUGCUCGGCCACACUGGGAAUGAGACACGGCCCAGACUCCUACGGGAGGCAGCAGUAGGGAAUCUUCGGCAAUGGACGGAAGUCUGACCGAGCAACGCCGCGUGAGUGAAGAAGGUUUUCGGAUCGUAAAGCUCUGUUGUAAGAGAAGAACGAGUGUGAGAGUGGAAAGUUCACACUGUGACGGUAUCUUACCAGAAAGGGACGGCUAACUACGUG